rnacentral:rRNA from 1 species
UGGGGAAUAUUGCGCAAUGGGCGAAAGCCUGACGCAGCGACGCCGCGUGGGGGAUGAAGGCCUUCGGGUUGUAAAACCCCUUUCAGUCAGGGAGCGAAGCAGAAAGAUGACGGUACCUGCAGAAGAAGCGCCGGCUAACUACGUGCCAGCAGCCGCGGUAACACGUAGGGCGCAAGCGUUGUCCGGAUUUAUUGGGCGUAAAGAGCUCGUAGGCGGUUUGUCGCGUCGGCCGUGAAAUCUCCACGCUUAACGUGGAGCGUGCGGUCGAUACGGGCAGACUUGAGUUCGGUAGGGGAGACUGGAAUUCCUGGUGUAGCGGUGAAAUGCGCAGAUAUCAGGAGGAACACCGAUGGCGAAGGCAGGUCUCUGGGCAUUAACUGACGCUGAGGAGCGAAAGCAUGGGGAGCGAACAGGAUUAGAUACC